CGCGUCCGGAGGAGCUCGUCCCCGGCAGGUGUCGGGGCCAGGACGCGCUGGCCCAGGAGCCUGCCAGUGCGUGCUUCAGUUCAGAUACUUCUCUCCAUGUCUCUCCACUGCCCUCUUGAGUUAAAAGCCUGUAGGGCACCAUUUUGAUAGCUGGAUGCAGCUGAACGUUACAUAUUUCUCUCUUUUGAAAACAGCCUGUAUGACAUAUCGAGAUUUUUUUUUUCAGGUAAGUUGUUUAGAGUGUUGAGUCAUUUUUGGAGUUUCUCUUUCCUCCUGUUAGAAACAUGAGUUAGCUGUACUAGUGAAGUCCAACAUCUUAAUAGGUUAUUAGGUUUUUAAACAUUAUAUUUAAUUUUCACCUUGUAAAAGUGUUACACAUUGAGAGAUGGAUUUUUUUUUUUAAAACUCAUUUCUGAGCUCAAUCUGUUUAUUUGAUGGUGUUAGCUGGGAGCGGGGUGGGGAAGGAACAGUGCCGUGGGAUUUAUUGCAAUACCUGUUCAUGACAAAUACGUGUGUGUGUCACCUCUACUCCCCUCCGCCCUUUUUAAUUAGUUUAUAGUGCAAUUCUUUAAUUCACAAGCUUGUAUCUGCAUCCUGUGACCUAAAAUGCCAGCCACAUACUUGAAGCUCCUGAAGCCUCCAGACAUCUCUUCUGCUUCCUCCAGCUGCAGUUGCUUCUGGGCGCAGCAGACUGUGGCGUCUGCCUAGUUUGGUGCUGCUCCCUCUGAAGCCAUCGGUAGGCACAGCCAUGGGCUUCUGCCACCCCAGCUCUAGAAACGUGUGUGACAAACUUUCAUUAAGCCCAGCUGAACUUGUUUGCAGUACUGUAAAAUUCCACGGUGCUGCUGCCUUGGUAAGAGCGUAGCAUGCUCGGUGCAGCACAGUCGCGGUGCGGUGCUACCCUCGUACUCCCUCUGUUAAUGGUCCCAGUCCUCAGCUGUUGCAAACUGCGUAGCUCCAUUAACUUACCUGGCCCUUGGCCAGUUAUACCCGCUCUCUGGCUCAUGACAUUCAAUACACAAGUAGCAUAAACAUCAAAUGCUGUUUUUCAGCUCCAGUGAAUUUAAAGGAGGUGGGAAGGGAACACCCUCAUUUUCUCUAGUGGCGUUUGCAAAGUGGGCACGUUACCCUUUCCCAGUUAAAUCCCGCAUUAUUAGAUUUGGCUUUUUAAGGCUGAUUGGGCAGAAGAAGCUGCUACUUUUAUUUCUUAAAAACACUUUGAGCUGCACUGAAGACACCACCUCGUUCAUUAAGAUACUACUUAUUACCUGGAAAGCUGGACUGUAACCUCAGACAUGAAGCUGCUUUUGUUAAAUGAUCAUCAAGUUUCUGAGCCGUUCACCUGGUGAUUGGGCAUCUGUGUUUAUCUCAAAUGAAAAACACUCCAUACAGGAUGAGAAGACUGAGGAGUUGCCCGCUCGGCUCAGCGGAGUUACAGGGGGGAUGUCGGUGGCUGCAAUGACUGACAGGCUGCCCUGGCUCAGUUAUCACAGUGCUGAUGCUGUCUCUUGUAAAGGUACAGUACUGUGAUAACUGAAGGAUGGCAGCCAUCUGAGCUUCACAGGGCUGCCGAGCCAAGCGCAGGGUUUCGCUUGGAGCUGGGGGACUGAUGGACUUUACUUAAGCAAGUACGAUGCAGCACAGUGCUGAAGUGGAAGAUACUCAUUUUAAGAUACUCAUAUCUUAACUCAGCUGAAGAAGAAGGGGGAAUUGGUGGUUAAGAUGCUUCUAGUUUUACUCAAAUAAAAAUUAUGCUUUAUCUCUAUUGA